rnacentral:rRNA from 1 species
AGUGAACGCUGGCGGCAGGCCUAACACAUGCAAGUCGAGCGGCAGCGGGUCCUUCGGGAUGCCGGCGAGCGGCGGACGGGUGAGGAAUGCGUCGGAAUCUGCCUUUUUGUGGGGGAUAACGUAGGGAAACUUACGCUAAUACCACAUACGACCUACGGGUGAAAGUGGGGGACCGCAAGGCCUCACGCCGAAAGAUGAGCCGACGCCGGAUUAGCUAGUUGGCGGGGUAAAGGCCCACCAAGGCGACGAUCCGUAGCUGGUCUGAGAGGAUGAUCAGCCACACUGGAACUGAGACACGGUCCAGACUCCUACGGGAGGCAGCAGUGGGGAAUAUUGGACAAUGGGCGCAAGCCUGAUCCAGCCAUGCCGCGUGUGUGAAGAAGGCCUUCGGGUUGUAAAGCACUUUUGUCCGGAAAGAAAUCCAAUCGAUUAAUACUCGGUUGGGAUGACGGUACCGGAAGAAUAAGCACCGGCUAACUUCGUGCCAGCAGCCGCCGCCGUAA